AUUGCCUGGUAGUUAAUUCAUCCUAAAUUACAGCAAUCAUCUUAGUGUCACGCGGGUGACGAAAAUUCGAAUUUUUGUCGCCUCUUCUCACACUGUAAGAACCGUGAUCUGCAUUGCCCACCACGUCCUUUUCCUUCUUCUCUGACCUACAUCGUCGACUGACCUGAGAGAUGGAUGCAGGUUCACAGUUCCAUCACUUUUUCGAGUCUCCUGUGUUUCAGUGAUUGAUGUGCAUAUUCUUUGCAGCGUCUGCGCGAAAGAGAACCGCCCAAGGUCCUCAUUCGCCGUCUUCAACAAAUAAAGAUGGUAAGCGUCGUGCACAUGUUGAAAGAAUGGUCCGAAUGCAAACCAGAUUCCGGACGUAAGAGAACAGUGCUUGGACCGCACUCUCCUGCUUCAUCCAAAAAUGGUGGAUAUAAAUUUCUUGUGAUUCAGGUAGUCGAAUGCAUUCAACAGCACUCUCCUGCUUCUUCCACAGACGGCGGUGGCAUAAUUUUACAGGUCUGCUCAUUCCCUGAAUGCUUUGUUUUGUUCCCACUGUUAGUUGUGAUAUAUUGUUUCAUGUUAAUGUGGUUUUUACAUGGUAUUUUAUGGAUACUAAGCGACUGUUGAUGAUUCGAGUAAUCGGAUGCAUCCGAGAGCUUUAUUGUAGAGUUCUCUGGGAGGCAAUUGUGAAAAUUUAAUUCCUAAUACUGGACAUUUAACACUUGACUUAAAUGGUUCUACUUGGUAUGUAUAGACGUGUAAAUUGUGUUGCCAAUUUAUUGUGUCUUAGACGUCCGCACUAUGUGUUUAACAGUAUAUUCUGUCAGGGAAUAUCUAUAACAAAGUUCUGGGUAGGAUUUUGGAACAACGAGCAAGUACGAUUUAUAAGCAGCCUUCCUUUCUCUCACGUGCACACGCAGCACCACAAGUACAGCAACAGACUCCAUCAGAUGUAUGUUCGGAAAUCAUUCCAAUUGCAGAGCCAUCUCGCACUCGGACCUGGCAUGCCAACAUAGUGCAAUCUCACACCUACUCAGAGGCGUUUAAACCAUAAAUGUUAACCUCUCAGACAUGAAGUAUUGCCCAACUCAAGGAAGUAUUUGUUUCGUUUGUUAAGGAAGCAGUGGAGCUAUCAUCAGGUUUCAGUGUUGCUGAUAUGUAUCCUUCAGUAAAACUUCUUUAUGUGAUCAGUGGGAUUCGGUAUAGGCUAAAGAAGGUGCACGAAAAUAUGAUUAUGGUACUUGAAACUAUAAUCAAUGGUGAGUUUUCUACUUCUCAGUGUGAUUCCAUGAUUUCACAAGUGCAGAGUUCUAAUUGGUUGUUUUGUUAUAUGUUAAGAUUUUCAGGGCUUAUAUGUAUAUUGAUCUUCCUCAGACCAACCUGUUUGUCAUGAUUAAUGUUUUUUUUUAUCUGGUUAUAAUUUAAAACCAUGUUUGUAUGAUAUAACCGCGUAUGUUUUAAUUAAUUUUCCUCCAACCGCCUGAUUUCUCUCACAUUUUUAUUACCUUUCCAUCAAUUUAAAUUUUGAAUUCCUUAAUUAUUGGAGACAUGCUUAAUAUUAAACUAUGGAUAGUUGCUUAUUGUUUCAUCACAAGAUUCGGACGGAAGAGGACAGUGCUUGGACAUUAAUGAGGAAAGAAAGGGAUGGAAAUAGAAGAAACAUGAUCUCUUUGGCUUUGCCUUUGUUAGCAUUCUGCAAUAUUUCAGGGCACAAAGCUACUUGACCUGACUGUAAUUAUCACUCUGGCUCCCACUGCUUCAUUUCCACAUCUGGCCGCAGAAGACAGAGCUGCAACAUAUGAAGUUGACUCUUAUCUCACUAAAACAAAAGAUGUAUUUAGUAGCAUUGUUGAAAAGGAUUAUGUUCUGGGUAAAGCAUUAGCUGUCGGAACUUCCGACAAAGUUCAAAAAGUGGAUCAAAACUAUCAAGUCUCCCAGAAAGUUAAAUCGGCAGUUGCCAAAUCUGCUGAAUUGAGCAGCGAGUAUGCAUCCAUAGGGGCUUCAUGGGUGACGGUCACAUUUGAUUCAAUUGCCAAGGCUGCUGCAGAGGUUAGCCAACAUGCUAAGAAAGUGGCACUUGCCGAAGAGGAACAGAAAAGAAAAACAACUGGUGAAGAGGAACAGGGAAGAAAAACCAUGUAGUACUCUUUUGAAUUAUGCUUCCAACCCCUAGAUAGGCUCAUAUAGAAUCUAGCAUUUUCAAUCCAUUCUCCCCUGCCAAUGUACAACGCAACUGGUAAGGUUAAUCACUUUGUUGUUGUUUUUUUUUUAAAGUUGC